AUCGCUUCUCGGCCUUUUGGCUAAGAUCAAGUGUAGUAUCUGUUCUGAUCAGUUUAAUAUCUGAUACGUCCUCUAUCCGAGGACAAUAUAUUAGGUAUUGAUAAAUGGAAGCGCUUACCAGCCCAGCUUUGCCAGCCCUAAUAAGAAGCAUGCUAAAGCCACAGCAGCUACUGUGGUUCUUCAAGCAAUGGGC
rnacentral:snRNA from 1 species